GAGGAUCCCAGUUGCUUCUUCCAGUACUAGAAGCGAAAAGAAGUAAAGACUGCAAUGAUCAUGGAGCAUGAGGAUGGGAAUUCAAAAUCGUGCAGUGGUGCUGAUGUGGAUUCCUGAGGCUCUGGGACAGGACCAUUCACACAGGAGUCUGGCAUUCAUAUAUACGGACAACAUUGAAAAAUCCCUUAUAAAAUGGGUUUUGUUAUGGCCUGAAGAUGCAGCUUAUCACAGGACAUUAUGUAUUACUACUGGAGGAUGUCUCCCCCUUCCAGUAAUCAUGCCUGGUGACUUGGAACUGAUGGUCCUAUAUCCCACCAAAGCAGGAGCAAUGGAGUUUCCAUCCCUUCGGAUUUCUUCACCACAAAGUUUGCCAAGCUGGAGCUGCAGAGCAGCAGCUGGGGACCAGGACCAGCCUUGUUGUAGACUGUCACCUUUGGGGGUAAAAAAAUGUCCAUUUUGGAAGUGUGAAACGACAGGCUUGUCCAACAUAAGCACGAGCAGCUGUGAAGAUCAGCCUGAAGGCCUGGAGGAGAUGGCCUGCCAUAUGGGAUUCCCAAAGCUCUCCCUGUACCUAUUCACUGCAGCAGCAACAAUGCACAAAAUGCUGAUGGGAAGAGUGAGCACUAAUUGCUUCUGAACUCUACUGUUUUAUGGCCUAAAGUUUACUUCCCAUGUCCAGUAAGGUCAUCAUUCAGUGAUCCUUUAUAAUGCUUUUGUGCUAAAACCAGCCUUUACUGUGUUUAAAUGUAAUGUGGGGGGAAAAGCUGGAACUCAAAGAAGUCCCUUCCAUGUAUGUGUGAUGAGAUGUCUCAGCAAGGAGACUGGUGACACUUUAAGGGCAGCAUUAAUUGCAGUCAUUUCCAUGGGGCUUGGCUCCAGCACACACAGGGAGUGUCCCCUCCCCAAGUAUUUGGGGUCCACAGG
rnacentral:lncRNA from 12 species